AAAUAAAUAAGCUAAUUAAGCUAUUGGGUUCAUACCCCAGCUAUAAAGGUUUUACCCCUUUUUUAUUUA
rnacentral:tRNA from 1 species